AAGUUACAGCCAUUGUUUUCCAUUGUCAAACACGGAGGCUGAUGACAGUGAGCCCUAGCUACAGAAGUUGCUCUGUAAUAUAUGGUUUGGUGAUUAUUUUCACUUCUCACAUUGAAGUAGUUGCUGAGCCCUAACUAUGGUGAGACUGGAAGACUCUUUUCCUCCUCUACCUCCUCCUCAGAAGGGGGUAGACAUGCUGCUUUGGAUAAAGGUUGCUACUGCCACAGUUGGCCUUGGGAUCGCUCUUAUCUCCCUAUAUCUCGCUAUACGGAGGUGUAGAUCCAACAACAAUGAAGCACCUCCCACAAUCGAAAUUUAGGGUGCGAUUCCGGGAAACUUUGGGAACCUUGUCUGAUGAUUUCAAAGGUGGCAGAAACUCUUCUGGGUUGAUAUCAGAAUAUUUGUAUUUGUUGAUUUUAUAUCGGUUAUGCUAGUGAUCUAGACCUUUGUUUUUAUCCUUUUUAGCUUUUGCUUGUUGUUGAUGCCUAAGGAACCACAAAAGGGGCCGUGAGGCCAAAGUACUGGACAUGGGUAUUUAUUUAUGUAUUUCUGUAUUUUUCCACUAUUUAUUGAUAAGUGAUGUUUGGUUUUACAA